rnacentral:lncRNA from 1 species
UUCCAUCCAGCUGAUUGGGUUUAGCCUAAGCCAAGUCCCAAGUCGUCAAUGGAUCAGUUUUCAUCACACUAUCCCAAGGCAAGUUGUUCUCCAACGGCUAGGUACAAUUUUUGCAAAUUUUUCAGAAUUUGUCCAGGAGUGGGAGUGGGAUGAGCCUUUGCACAGCCGCUCAGUGCAAAGGCAUUUGAGGAUUUCUUGCCUAUACAGUAUGUAUUUUAAUUUUUCGUUGUCUUCUUCAUGAUUCACUUGGGGAAAUAACAUAAUUUGGAUUUUCAGUUAUUUUCUUCUUAAUUUUGAUUCCUUUUUUUUGAAUAUCAAUUGGUGGGAUUCUUAGUUUAUACGUUAUGUGAAAUUUUGAUUCAUAAGAAUACAUGACUUUACAAAUGUCAUAUAAGAAAUACAUUACAUAACCCCAUAUUUGCUUAAAAUUUUAAUAUUUGGAAUUUCUUAGUUGAUUAUUUCGUUUCUUACAUUACAAAUGUUGAUUUUUGUGCUUGGAAUUGAACUUGGUGAUGUAAAUUUCUGUGGGAUUUAGAAAAGUCGUGUUAUUGAUGCUGCUGCAAAAGAAACAUGUAUAUUUUUGAUUGUAUUGUUUCUUUUGCAAUAUUUGAAACUAUAGGGAAUCUUCUCGACUUCGAUUCAUUUUCUGUUGGAUGUUUGCUGAUUGUUAAUUAUUGUUCUUAAUUUCAGGUCACCCACGGAUCAUAAAUGGUUGAGAGACCUCAUCAAUGGCAGAUUUCACCUCAACUGAUUUGGAGCAACAAGUUGCAAAGAAUGAAAGUAUUAAUGAGCAAGACUAGAAUAACAAUACUAUCCUUUUCUGACAGACGCGGAAGAAUCAGUACCAUAGGUAAAUAAUUUGUUUAUGAAUAGUGGAAGAAAAGGAACAAGAAUGAAAGAAUAUGCAAUUCCCCCGCAUUUAAUAAAUAAUAUGAAUGUGAUUAAGCAAUAAAAUUUAGGCAGAACUCUCCAGUUUAAGAAAAAAGUCUGAAUGUUUUAACUACUUGCUGAAUAUUAGAAAAAAUAUAUUCAAUGUUGGACAGUAACAUGUUUGGAGUUUUUCCUGACAAUUGUCAAAUGAUAGUUGGUGUAUAUAUGUUCAUCAAAGUUACUGUCUUAAGAGGCAUUUGCAAUAAUUCUGUCUUCGGCUGAGUUUCUUGGUUAAAUCUUUCAGUUUCUAUAUUUCAAUUGUUGUGUGGAUAUUUAUUGUUCCUUUUUGCCAUAACAUCAUGCAAAAUGUAGAGAUCUUAGAAAUCAGGGAAUUUUUUUAGUGUUUAGUAUUUAUAGGAAUUCUUAUUUUGGACGUUAUUUUAGGUUAACCUGUGUUUACAUCUUUGUGUCACUUAAAAUCAGUUUAUUUGCUCUGUGUCUUCCAAUUUAUGCCAAAUGUUGUUCAGUUAUGUUGAUUCUUCAUACUGCCAAUUCUCAAUUAUUUUAUAUGUUGGAUUUGCAGGUUGUCAUUGAUAGCAUGGUUAUUGAAAUAGAUAAAGCACUGGAUUUUAAUUCAAUUCUACUGAUAUAUGGUCAGAAUUACUGGCACUCUUUCUGAUUAAACUCUAAAUUUAUUUCAAUAACAGGUGGAACGGGAUGAACCUCAGUAUGGUUAUAGCGAACCAGAGUUAAAAGUGUAAUUCCAUCAUAACAACAAACUAAUGUAGUCAUCUUCUUUUACUGGUAACGACUUCAUUGACACAUUCUUUUAUUGGUAACGACUUCAUUGACACAACUUCAGUUGUUAAAACUGUUCCCCAUUCAUAAGUUUUACACAUGCACAUCUUAUCUUUACGUUCAAGAAUAUGCAUUUUUGUUAUUUAACAUUUUGUAUGGACUUAAGCAUCUUCAGGUUUUUCUACAUCCA